UACGAAGGGGGCUAGCGUUGCUCGGAAUCACUGGGCGUAAAGGGUACGUAGGCGGGUUUUUAAGUCAGGGGUGAAAUCCUGGAGCUCAACUCCAGAACUGCCUUUGAUACUGAAGAUCUUGAGUCCGGGAGAGGUGAGUGGAACUGCGAGUGUAGAGGUGAAAUUCGUAGAUAUUCGCAAGAACACCAGUGGCGAAGGCGGCUCACUGGCCCGGUACUGACGCUGAGGUGCGAAAGCGUGGGGAGCAAACAGG
rnacentral:rRNA from 1 species